UAGGAGCCCCGGGGGGCCGCAGAGAAAUGGCCCAGGCGACUGUUUAGCAAAAACACAGCACUAUGCAAACCUCUAAGGGGAAGUAUAUGGUGUGACGCCUGCCCAAUGCCAAAAGGUUAAAGGGAUAUGUCAGCUGCAAAGCGAAGCAUUGAACCUAAGCCCUGGUGAAUGGCCGCCGUAACUAUAACGGUGCUAAGGUAGCGAAAUUCCUUGUCGGGUAAGUUCCGACCUGCACGAAUGGUGUAACGAUCUGGGCACUGUCUCAACGAAAGACUCGGUGAAAUUGUAGUAGCAGUGAAGAUGCUGUUUACCCGCGAAAGGACGAAAAGACCCCGUGAACCUUUACUGUACUUUGGUAUUGAUUUUUGGUUUGUUAUGUGUAGGAUAGCCAGGAGACUAGGAACACUCUUCUUCAGGAGAGUGGGAGUCAACGUUGAAAUACUGGUCUUAACAAGCUGGGAAUCUAACAUUAUUCCAUGAAUCUGGAAGAUGGACAUUGCCAGACGGGCAGUUUUACUGGGGCGGUAUCCUCCUAAAAAGUAACGGAGGAGCCCAAAGCUUAUUUCAUCGUGGUUGGCAAUCACGAGUAGAGCGUAAAGGUAUAAGAUAGGUUGACUGCAAGACCAACAAGUCGAGCAGAGACGAAAGUCGGGCUUAGUGAUCCGGCGGUGGAAAGUGGAAUCGCCGUCGCUUAACGGAUAAAAGGUACUCCGGGGAUAACAGGCUGAUCGCCACCAAGAGUUCAUAUCGACGUGGCGGUUUGGCACCUCGAUGUCGGCUCAUCGCAUCCUGGGGCUGGAGAAGGUCCCAAGGGUUUGGCUGUUCGCCAAUUAAAGCGGUACGCGAGCUGGGUUCAAAACGUCGUGAGACAGUUUGGUCUCUAUCCUUCGUGGGCGCAGGAUACUUGAGAGGAGCUGUUCCUAGUACGAGAGGACCGGAAUGGACGAACCAAUGGUGUGUCGGUUGUUUUGCCAAGAGCAUAGCCGAGUAGCUACGUUCGGAAAGGAUAAGCAUUGAAAGCAUCUAAAUGCCAAGCCU
rnacentral:rRNA from 1 species